UACGUAGGGGGCAAGCGUUGUCCGGAUUCAUUGGGCGUAAAGAGCGUGUAGGCGGCCAGGUAGGUCGGUUGUGAAAACUCGAGGCUUAACCUUGAGAUGUCAUCGGAAACCAUUUGGCUAGAGUCCGGAAGAGGAAAGUGGAAUUCCUGGUGUAGCGGUGAAAUGCGCAGAUAUCAGGAAGAACACCAAUGGCGAAAGCAGCUUUCUGGGACGGUACUGACGCUGAGACGCGAAAGCGUGGGGAGCGAACAGG
rnacentral:rRNA from 1 species